AGUGAACGCUGGCGGUAGGCCUAACACAUGCAAGUCGAACGGCAGCACAGUAAGAGCUUGCUCUUACGGGUGGCGAGUGGCGGACGGGUGAGGAAUACAUCGGAAUCUACUUUUUCGUGGGGGAUAACGUAGGGAAACUUACGCUAAUACCGCAUACGACCUACGGGUGAAAGCAGGGGAUCUUCGGACCUUGCGCGAUUGAAUGAGCCGAUGUCGGAUUAGCUAGUUGGCGGGGUAAAGGCCCACCAAGGCGACGAUCCGUAGCUGGUCUGAGAGGAUGAUCAGCCACACUGGAACUGAGACACGGUCCAGACUCCUACGGGAGGCAGCAGUGGGGAAUAUUGGACAAUGGGCGCAAGCCUGAUCCAGCCAUACCGCGUGGGUGAAGAAGGCCUUAGGGUUGUAAAGCCAUUUUGUUGGGAAAGAAAAGCAGCAGGUUAAUACCCCGCUGUUCUGACGGUACCCAAAGAAUAAGCACCGGCUAACUUCGUG
rnacentral:rRNA from 1 species